GCUAACGCAAAGUUAAUGAAACGGAGAAAGAUUGUGACUAUCAAUAUGCUAUUUGCAAGUGUAACAACCGCAUGUCUAAUGGUUGCUUUUCUCGGUAGAUAAUUCGCUUAUUCGUAUUAUUCGAUAGUACGUAACUACGCAAAAGAGCACGCAAGGCAAUUGGCGACUUCGGUCGCCUUUUUUUAUG
rnacentral:sRNA from 1 species